CACCACCACAGACACCAAUGCCAGAAAUCAACCUCAGAGUACUCGCAUACGACACACAGGUGUGCGGUUUAGGACAGGACACAGUUCUCACUCUGGCAGCAGAAGACAGAAGUUGUGCUCGGUGGGAUUCGGACGCCGUCCCUCCUGCAGAGCCAGUGAAGAAACAGAAGAUACACACACCUCGACAGACAGAGAUGACACACCUGCAUCCCCUUGUAGCAUGACAUCCUGGG